UACAGAGGGUGCGAGCGUUGUCCGGAAUCACUGGGCGUAAAGGGCGCGUAGGUGGCGACCCAAGUCGAUGGUGAAAGCUCGCCGCUCAACGGCGAGUCGGCCACCGAUACUGGGUUGCUGGAGCACUGUAGAGGCAGAUGGAAUUCCACGUGUAGCAGUGAAAUGCGUAGAGAUGUGGAGGAACACCGAUGGCGAAGGCAGCCCCCUGGGUCAAGAUUGACGCUCAUGCACGAAAGCGUGGGGAGCAAACAGG
rnacentral:rRNA from 1 species